AUUGAACGCUGGCGGAAUGCUUUACACAUGCAAGUCGAACGGCAGCACGGACUUCGGUCUUGCGGCGAGUGGCGAACGGGUGAGUAAUGUAUCGGAACGUGCCCAGUCGUGGGGGAUAACGUAGUGAAAAUUACGCUAAUCCCGCAUACGAUCGAUGGAUGAAAGCGGGGGAUCGCAAGACCUCGCGCGAUUGGAGCGGCCGCUAUCAGAUUAGGUAGUUGGUGGGGUAAAGGCCCACCAAGCCAACGAUCCGUAGCUGGUCUGAGAGGACGACCAGCCACACUGGAACUGAGACACGGUCCAGACUCCUACGGGAGGCAGCAGUGGGGAAUUUUGGACAAUGGGCGAAAGCCUGAUCCAGCCAUUCCGCGUGCAGGGUGAAGGCCCUCGGGUUGUAAACUGCUUUUGUACAGAACGAAAAGGUUUCUACUAAUACUAGGAGCUCAUGACGGUACUGUAAGAAUAAGCACCGGCUAACUACGUGCCAGCAGCCGCCGCAG
rnacentral:rRNA from 1 species